GGUCGGGUAGCUCAGUUGGUAGAGCAACGGACUGAAAAUCCGUGUGUCGGCGGUUCGACCCCGCCCCCGACCA
rnacentral:tRNA from 1 species